rnacentral:rRNA from 1 species
AUGAACGCUGGCGGCGUGCCUAAUACAUGCAAGUCGAGCGAACAGACGAGGAGCUUGCUCCUCUGACGUUAGCGGCGGACGGGUGAGUAACACGUGGAUAACCUACCUAUAAGACUGGGAUAACUUCGGGAAACCGGAGCUAAUACCGGAUAAUAUAUUGAACCGCAUGGUUCAAUAGUGAAAGACGGUUUUGCUGUCACUUAUAGAUGGAUCCGCGCCGCAUUAGCUAGUUGGUAAGGUAACGGCUUACCAAGGCGACGAUGCGUAGCCGACCUGAGAGGGUGAUCGGCCACACUGGAACUGAGACACGGUCCAGACUCCUACGGGAGGCAGCAGUAGGGAAUCUUCCGCAAUGGGCGAAAGCCUGACGGAGCAACGCCGUGUGAGUGAUGAAGGUCUUCGGAUCGUAAAACUCUGUUAUUAGGGAAGAACAAAUGUGUAAGUAACUAUGCACGUCUUGACGGUACCUAAUCAGAAAGCCACGGCUAACUACGUG